rnacentral:snoRNA from 2 species
CCCCUCUCAAGAUUACACCUGGAGAGAUUCCAGUACUCUACCAGUCUCGGCUUUGGGAGGGAGAGUCAAGCAGAGGCCUGUCCAUUCCAUUCCUAGCUUGGCCAGUGGCUAGUGAGUGGAAAGCAAUCUGCUACAAGU